rnacentral:rRNA from 1 species
UGAGUACGAGAUGCUACGGCAUCGAAGCAGUCUAUGUCAUACUUCCAAGAAAAGCUUGCACUGUCAGAAACAGAUAAUGCCUGUACCAUAACCGACACAGGUGGGUAGGUAGAGUAUACUAAGGGGCGCGAGAUAACUCUCUCUAAGGAACUCACAAAAUGACUCCGUAACUUCGGGAGAAGGAGUGCCUUAUUUUUAAGGUUGCAAUAACAAGAUCCAAGCAACUGUUUACCAAAAACACAGGUCUCCGCUAAGUCGUAAGACGAUGUAUGGGGGCUGACGCCUGCCCAUUGCCAGAAGGUUAAAGAAGUCGGUUAGCAUUCGCGAAGCUGGUAACUGAAGCCCUGGUGAACGGCGGCCGUAACGAUAACGGUCCUAAGGUAGCGAAAUUCCUUGUCGGGUAAGUUCCGACCCGCACGAAAGGCGUAAUGAUUUGGAUACUGUCUCGGAGAGGGGCUCGGUGAAAUAGACUUGUCUGUGAAGAUGCGGACUACCUGCACCUGGACAGAAAGACCCUAUGAAGCUUUACUGUAACUUGAAAUUGAAAUUGGACUUUAUUUGCGCAGUAUAGGUGGGAGGCGUUGAAAAUAUUCUUGCGGGAAUAUUGGAGCCAUCAGUGAGAUACCACUCUUGUAAUGUUAGAUUUCUAACUUUAUAUCAUUAUCUGGUUAAAGAACAGUUUCAGGCGGGCAGUUUGACUGGGGCGGUCGCCUCCCAAAUGGUAACGGAGGCGCACAAAGGUUUCCUCUGAACGGGUAGAAAUCGUAUCUAGAGUGUAAAGGCAUAAGGAAGCUUGACUGUGAGACCUACAAGUCGAGCAGGGACGAAAGUCGGUCUUAGUGAUCUGACGGUGCUGAGUGGAAAGGCCGUCACUCAACGGAUAAAAGUUACUCUAAGGAUAACAGGCUGAUCUCCCCCAAGAGUUCACAUCGACGGGGAGGUUUGGCACCUCGAUGUCGGCUCAUCGCAUCCUGGGGCGGUAGUACGUCCCAAGGGUUGGGCUGUUCGCCCAUGAAAGCGGUACGCGAGCUGGGUUCAGAACGUCGUGAGACAGUUCGGUCCAUAUCCGGUGUAGGCGUUAGAAUAUUGAGAGGAGCCUUCUUUAGUACGAGAGGACCGAGAAGGACAUACCUCUGGUGUACCAGUUAUCGUGCCAACGGUAAACGCUGGGUAGCUAUGUAUGGAGUGGAUAACCGCUGAAAGCAUCUAAGUGGGAAGCCCACCUCAAGAUAAGUAUUCUCAC